AUAAUAAUAAAACAUUAAGACAAAAAGACGUGACUUUCUCUUUCCUUGAAGUCACGCUUUCUCUUUCAAUGAAGAACUCAAAAUUUCUCUCAGUGACGAGCUGAAGAUCGAAUUGAAGAUCGAGCCAAAGAACUCACCGAGCUGACCGAGCUUUCUCUUCUCCAAGCUGAAGAUUUCGUCGAGUUACGUACAAUCCUCUUCUACCACACCGAUUUCAUCAAGCUAAGUACUAAAAACAAUCUUCUUGUUAUUUUUUUGUUUAGAGGAAUUGAUUGGGGUUGUUGGCAAGAUGAACUGAAGUUAAGUUUUCCCGUCACAUUUUUUCCUCAGAUUUCUCAUUGAAGAACUUGAUUUUGGACAGAUUUAUGGCUGAAGAGCUGAAGAUACUCUUUUUGAAGAAUACGAUUUCCAUAAUAGUUCUUUCUGAAUAACACAAUUUUGUGUGAAUUGGGUUUAUCGGGUUUUGCUGUGAGGAAAUUAAUAUUAUGCAGACACCAAUUUCAAGUAUCACUGAUCUGUUAACAAUAAGAUGACUAUAUUUCAAUAUUGAAAUAAUAACACACAGUUCUGUAGUUGUUAUUAUGUAUAUAUGAUAAAUAAAAAUGGAAUUCAAAUAUCCCAUCCAAGGAUUGGAUGGAUUUAGCAAGGUAUAACAAAGAGGAUAUUGCUGGGGUUGAAUCAUUCCUAGAUUUCGCUUACUUUUAUGGAGUUCCUCAAGGAGAUGAAAUUCAGUAUCCAUGUGCAAAAUGUUUUAAUAUUCAUUGAACUCAAAGGAAUGUAGUGUAUGAUCAUCUAAUAUGCUAUGGGUUUGUUAAAGGAUAUAUUUAAUGGAUCAAUCACAGGAAUAGGAUAUCAAGUUGAAUGUUGACGAUGAUAUGAAUUACUCGCGUGAUGAUAUUGAUAGAUUGUUGAAUGAUCAAUUUAGAAAUGUUUCAUAGGCUGAAGGAGUUUAUGAUGGUCCAAAUGAAGAUGCCAAGAAAUUCUAUAACUUAGUUGAAUAGGCAAGCCAAGAAUUAUAUCCAGACUGAACUUCAGAAUCGCUAAAAAUCUAGCGAAACAGAUGAUGAUGCAUUUAGGGCAGUGUUUGGAAAGGAGCAGCCUGGUCAACUUAGGUGCUAUGGAAGAUCAGUGACAACAAGUUCCUUGAAGAAAGACGAAGAAAUUAACAAGAUAAAACAAAAUCAUGCCAAGGAAAUCACUUUCCUAAAGAAAGAAAUGAGAGAAGAAACGCGAUAUUUAUUCACUCAAUUAUUGCAAAGCAACCCUGGAUUAAAUUUUCAAGAUAUACCAGGGUGUGUUGGAUCUAACCAUGCUUCCCCGUUGAUGCAAGUAGCGCACAAGCUCUACGAGGCACAAAUCUUCCACAUUCUUCAGGAUCAGCUCGUGAUUCGAUUCUUCAAAAGGGAAAUGCCGCUGAUUGAAUUUGAUGAAUGAGGACAGAAGUAAUUAAACCUGAUUAUAUUGUUGAAGUGAGCGAUAAAUUUUUUUUUGUACUAUUAUCGUUAAUGUUUGAAUACAUUUGGUUUUGUGGAAUGUAUUGUUAGUAGAGAUUUUUAUGACAUUUUUUAAGUACAAGACAUGUUUCAUAGUUUAUAUUUGAAUUAUAUAAUCCCUGAUUAUGCGUAA